rnacentral:tRNA from 1 species
CGGGGACUAGUUCAGCAGUAGAACGCUACGUUCGGGACGUAGAGGCGCAGGGUGCGACCCCCUGGUCCCCGA